rnacentral:lncRNA from 1 species
CAGAGCGGUCAAUUAUCCUCAUAGUCAGGAUUUAGAGGUCCUAGCCGAAGUUGGGGUGACUUCAAUUGAUUUUUCUUAAUCGCUUGAAUGGAUCCAGAUCCUUAAUUGAUUUUUUGCUCUCCUCGCUUCUAAUGUCUAGCUCAUCAGGUCUUCUGCUUAACUCAUUUUUGAUAUGAGAAAAAAUUCAUAGAGAUCUUUCUCAGUUGGCCG